rnacentral:rRNA from 1 species
CGUGGGCGACCUGCCUUCGAGUGGGGAAUAACGCUGGGAAACCAGCGCUAAUACCGUAUACGCUCUGCGCUUCAUUGUGCAGAGGAAAGCUUAAUGCGCUCGAAGAGGGGCCUGCGGCGGAUUAGCUAGUCGGUGGGGUCACGGCCUACCGAGGCCACGAUCCGUAGCUGGUCUGAGAGGAUGAUCAGCCACACUGGGACUGAGACACGGCCCAG